rnacentral:sRNA from 1 species
UUCCUAAUCGAUAUUGUGUCCUUAUCGG